rnacentral:rRNA from 1 species
CAGGCUCGAACGGCAUUGGACAUCCUGCGAAAGCAGGCUCCCGCAAGGGCCGAUGUCGAGGUGCUGCAUGGCUGUCGUCAGCUCGUGUCGUGAGAUGUUGGGGUUAAGUCCCGCAACGAGCGCAACCCUUGUCCGCUGUUGCCAUCACGUUAUGGUGGGCACUCUGCGGAGACUGCCGGUGAUAAACCGGAGGAAGGUGGGAUGACGUCAAGUCAGCAUGGCCUUUA